AGUGAACGCUGGCGGUAGGCCUAACACAUGCAAGUCGAACGGCAGCACAGUAAGAGCUUGCUCUUACGGGUGGCGAGUGGCGGACGGGUGAGGAAUACAUCGGAAUCUACUUUUUCGUGGGGGAUAACGUAGGGAAACUUACGCUAAUACCGCAUACGACCUACGGGUGAAAGCAGGGGAUCUUCGGACCUUGCGCGAAUGAAUGAGCCGAUGUCGGAUUAGAUAGUUGGCGGGGUAAAGGCCCACCAAGGCGACGAUCCGUAGCCGGUCUGAGUGGAUGAUCAGCCACACUGGAACUGAGACACGGUCCAGACUCCUAAGGGAGGCAGCAGUGGGGAAUGUUGGACAAUGGGCGCAAGCCUGAUCCAGCGAUACCGAGUGGGUGAAGAAGGCCUUCGGGUUGUAAAGCCCUUUUGUUGGGAAAGAAAAGCAGCAGGUUAAUACCACGCUGUUCUGACGGUACCCAAAGAAUAAGCACCGGCUAACUUCGUG
rnacentral:rRNA from 1 species